ACAAAUUGGGCGGGUCGGGCAGGUGUGGAUCACCUGUUAAAGUGACUUUGGGUCAGAAUGAGUUCAGGUCAAUAUGGUUUAGGAUUAAAAUGAGUUUGGGUUAAGACGGGCUCAGAGCAAAAUGAGUUCGGUUCAUUUAAAAAACUUAUUAAUUAAGAUCGGGUAAACAUGAGUUUGGAGCAAAUUAAUUUGGGUCAAACAGGUAGUUUAAAGGAAAAACUUUCAAACUUUUGGAAUCUCUUGAAAAAAGUAAAGACUGGAAAAUAGUGUGGGUUGGGUAAUGGUGAAACAGGUGGUUUGAGAUACGGGUUAAAAAGUCUAGAAACCACAAGGCAUGUUUCAGUGAUUAUAAUAACUCUCUCUACAAAGGAACUGAAUACAUCAUCUAUUGGAUAUCAGCCCACAUUAUCAGCUAAUCAGAUGAAAGUGGCAACUGAGUUUGAGUAUCAUGGAGG